CUGUGCAAGCGGUGUCUUCUUUCUCGUGUCUCCUUUGAGCAAAAUGGAAAUUCCUUGAAGCCUUCAGAGAGCAUUUAUCAGGCCACCUUUAUGUUAUGUAUUGGUCAUGAGUUUGAUGCCAUCGUUGUGAUGAGUUUCUGUUACAAGAAGGAAGGAGAAACACUUGCUUUGCUGUUGUGUUGGAUUACCAAGUGUUCAUUUUGAGCAAGGCAAGAUAUUAGGACAGCAGUGAAUAUUACAUACUGUGAGAUUGACAUAUAACGUUAUUUUCGGUGAAUUUGUUGUCUAAAUGCUGAGAAGUGUUAAAACCCAGAGGUGAAAGCUGUUUUUUAAUAAAUUGUAUUACAUAAUUAAUAAAUGUUCAGCUAAAUAAAGAGAGAGAAAAUCAUUUAAAGAAGCUAUUGUCUUUUUUUUCCCCCUUAUUGUUUCUUGCAAGCAUGUAGAUAUCAUGAGACUAAUUGUCAAACGUGCUGUGUAUAGCAACUAUCUGGCUGUAUAUUAUCCUGCUUUGAGCAAACUGAUCAAACUAGGAAGGAAUAAUGUACAGUCAUCCCAUGUGUUACAUGCUUCUCACCAACAAAUAAUUUUUUUAGAUUUUACUUGUCUUUAUCUUAUCUUUAUAUUUAUCUUACAUUAUCUUAAAGCAUGCUGCUAAUGGGGAAAAAAUGCAAAAGACAAUCAACCUCACAACAAGAUGAACACUACAGCUAUGGUGUCCAGG
ensembl:lncRNA